rnacentral:rRNA from 1 species
CAGCAGCCACGGUAAUACGUAGGUGGCAAGCGUUGUCCGGAAUUAUUGGGCGUAAAGGGCUCGCAGGCGGUUUCUUAAGUCUGAUGUGAUAGCCCCCGGCUCAACCGGGGAGGGUCAUUGGAAACUGGGAAACUUGAGUGCAGAAGAGGAGAGUGGAAUUCCACGUGUAGCGGUGAAAUGCGUAGAGAUGUGGAGGAACACCAGUGGCGAAGGCGACUCUCUGGUCUGUAACUGACGCUGAGGAGCGAAAGCGUGGGGAGCGAACAGGAUUAGAUACCCGGGUAGUCCCUGUCUCUUAUAU